AUAACAAUGCGGGACUCUUAUGAGGCUUCGUAAUUGGAAUGAGUACAUUCUAAAUCCUUUAACGAGGAACUAUUGGAGGGCAAGUCUGGUGCCAGCAGCCGCGGUAAUUCCAGCUCCAAUAGCGUAUAUUAAAGUUGUUGCGUCUAAAAAGCUCGUAGUUUGAAAACUUGCCUUGGCUUACAACAGACGUCUAAGGGCGUCACCGUUUGUCGAGAGCAAAUAUGGGUGACUGUUCUUGCCUUCUUCACUGAUUGGCUCGUAAAAGUCAUCGAAGAUCACUUUGAUUAAAUUAGGGUGCUCAAAGCAAGUGUGCUACUUGAAUAUGAAUGCAUGGAAUGAUGGAAUAUGUUGUUGUUCUAUUUGUUGGUUUUUUGAAUGACGAAAUGAUUGAAAGGAACUGUUGGGGGCAUUCGUAUUGUUGUGAGAGAGGUGAAAUUCUUAGACCAUAGCAAGACGAACUACUGCGAAAGCAUUUGCCAAGAAUGUUUUCAUUGAUCAAGAACGAAAGUUAGAGGUUCGAAGGCGAUCAGAUACCGCCCUAGUUCUAACCAUAAACUAUGCCGACUAGCAAUUUGCUUUGUAUUUUUAUGACUAAGUGAGAGGCCACGGGAAACCAAAGUAGGGUUAUGGGGGAAGUAUGGUUGCAAAGCUGAAACUUAAAGGAAUUGACGGAAGGGCACCACCAGGAGUGGAGCCUGCGGCUUAAUUUGACCCAACACGGGAAAACUUACCUGGUCCUGACACUAGAAGGAUUGACAGAUUGAUAGCUCUUUCUUGAUUUGGUGGAUGGUGGUGCAUGGCCGUUCUUAGUUGGUGGAGUGAUUUGUCUGGUUAAUUCCGAUAACGAACGAGACUCUAGCCUAUUAAAUAAUAUGCGGAAUCAAUUUCUCCCGCGUUAUUUCUUAAUGGGAUCAAGCGUGUUUAACGCUUUGAAACAGAGCAAUAACAGGUCUGUGAUGCCCUUAUAUGUUCGGGGCUGCACGCGCGCUACAUUGAAGAACAAAGUGAGCCCUCUGGCUUUUAACAAAGCUAGAAAUCUUUUAAUGUUCUUCUUAAUGGGGAUAGGGGAUUGCAAUUGUGCCCCUUGAACGAGGAAUUCCCAGUAAGUGCUAGUCAUUAGCUAGUACUGAUUACGUCCCUGCCCUUUGUACACACCGCCCGUCGCUACUACCGAUUGAAUAGUUUAGUGAGAUCAUCUGAGUGUUUGUAUGUGCAUUCUGUGCUUGUAUGGUGUACGAAGAAGAUCAAACUUGAUUAUUUAGAGGAAGUAAAAGUC
rnacentral:rRNA from 1 species